GCCUGCCUGCCUGUCCGUCCGUCCGUCCACCUAUCCGUCUGGUGUACCCGUCCAUGUUGCCCAAGGACAGGCUCCAGCUCCGGCCUACAACCCCGUACAGGAUAAAUGGUAUAGAUACAGUAAUGGGUGUAUGGUACUUUGGCCAUGUCUUAUCCCAAGCAUCAAUUAAAACUUCAUCAAACCAU